rnacentral:rRNA from 1 species
GAUGAACGCUGGCGGCGUGCCUAAUACAUGCAAGUCGAGCGAACGGACGAGAAGCUUGCUUCUCUGAUGUUAGCGGCGGACGGGUGAGUAACACGUGGAUAACCUACCUAUAAGACUGGGAUAACUUCGGGAAACCGGAGCUAAUACCGGAUAAUAUUUUGAACCGCAUGGUUCAAAAGUGAAAGACGGUCUUGCUGUCACUUAUAGAUGGAUCCGCGCUGCAUUAGCUAGUUGGUAAGGUAACGGCUUACCAAGGCAACGAUGCAUGGCCGACCUGAGAGGGUGAUCGGCCACACUGGAACUGAGACACGGUCCAGACUCCUACGGGAGGCAGCAGUAGGGAAUCUUCCGCAAUGGGCGAAAGCCUGACGGAGCAACGCCGCGUGAGUGAUGAAGGUCUUCGGAUCGUAAAACUCUGUUAUUAGGGAAGAACAUAUGUGUAAGUAACUGUGCACAUCUUGACGGUACCUAAUCAGAAAGCCACGGCUAACUACGUGCCAGCAGCCGCGGUAAUACGUAGGUGGCAAGCGUUAUCCGGAAUUAUUGGGCGUAAAGCGCGCGUAGGCGGUUUUUUAAGUCUGAUGUGAAAGCCCACGGCUCAACCGUGGAGGGUCAUUGGAAACUGGAAAACUUGAGUGCAGAAGAGGAAAGUGGAAUUCCAUGUGUAGCGGUGAAAUGCGCAGAGAUAUGGAGGAACACCAGUGGCGAAGGCGACUUUCUGGUCUGUAACUGACGCUGAUGUGCGAAAGCGUGGGGAUCAAACAGGAUUAGAUACCCUGGUAGUCCACGCCGUAAACGAUGAGUGCUAAGUGUUAGGGGGUUUCCGCCCCUUAGUGCUGCAGCUAACGCAUUAAGCACUCCGCCUGGGGAGUACGACCGCAAGGUUGAAACUCAAAGGAAUUGACGGGGACCCGCACAAGCGGUGGAGCAUGUGGUUUAAUUCGAAGCAACGCGAAGAACCUUACCAAAUCUUGACAUCCUUUGACAACUCUAGAGAUAGAGCCUUCCCCUUCGGGGGACAAAGUGACAGGUGGUGCAUGGUUGUCGUCAGCUCGUGUCGUGAGAUGUUGGGUUAAGUCCCGCAACGAGCGCAACCCUUAAGCUUAGUUGCCAUCAUUAAGUUGGGCACUCUAAGUUGACUGCCUGUGACAAACCGGAGGAAGGUGGGGAUGACGUCAAAUCAUCAUGCCCCUUAUGAUUUGGGCUACACACGUGCUACAAUGGACAAUACAAAGGGCAGCGAAACCGCGAGGUCAAGCAAAUCCCAUAAAGUUGUUCUCAGUUCGGAUUGUAGUCUGCAACUCGACUACAUGAAGCUGGAAUCGCUAGUAAUCGUAGAUCAGCAUGCUACGGUGAAUACGUUCCCGGGUCU